rnacentral:rRNA from 1 species
GAUGAACGCUAGCUACAGGCUUAACACAUGCAAGUCGAGGGGCAGCGGGAUUGAAGCUUGCUUCAAUUGCCGGCGACCGGCGCACGGGUGAGUAACGCGUAUCCAACCUUCCGUACACUCAGGGAUAGCCUUUCGAAAGAAAGAUUAAUACCUGAUGGUAUGAUGAGAUUGCAUGAUAGCAUCAUUAAAGAUUUAUCGGUGUACGAUGGGGAUGCGUUCCAUUAGGUAGUAGGCGGGGUAACGGCCCACCUAGCCGACGAUGGAUAGGGGUUCUGAGAGGAAGGUCUCCCACAUUGGAACUGAGACACGGUCCAAACUCCUACGGGAGGCAGCAGUGAGGAAUAUUGGUCAAUGGACGAGAGUCUGAACCAGCCAAGUAGCGUGAAGGAUGACUGCCCUAUGGGUUGUAAACUUCUUUUAUACGGGAAUAAAGUUAGCCACGUGUGGUUUUUGUAUGUACCGUAUGAAUAAGGAUCGGCUAACUCCGUGCCAGCAGCC